rnacentral:misc_RNA from 1 species
UCCGGUUUAACACCGGCAGUCUCCUUAGAGUACCCGGCUUGACCCGAUGGUAACUAAGAACAAGGGUUGCGCUCGUUGCGGGACUUAACCCAACAUCUCACGACACGAGCUGACGACAGCCAUGCAGCACCUGUCUUGGGGCUCCCGAAGGCACUCCCCCCUUUCAGGGGGAUUCCCCAGAUGUCAAGCCCAGGUAAGGUUUUUCGCGUUGCAUCGAAUUAAACCACAUGCUCCACCGCUUGUGCGGGCCCCCGUCAAUUCCUUUGAGUUUCAGCCUUGCGGCCGUACUCCCCAGGCGGGGCACUUACUGCGUUAGCGACGGCACCGGGAGGGUCGCUCCCCCCGACGCCUAGUGCCCAUCGUUUACGGCGUGGACUAC